UACGUAGGGCGCAAGCGUUGUCCGGAAUUAUUGGGCGUAAAGAGCUCGUAGGCGGCUUGUCGCGUCGGUUGUGAAAGCCCGGAGCUUAACCCCGGGUCUGCAGUCGAUACGGGCAGGCUAGAGUGUGGUAGGGGAGAUCGGAAUUCCUGGUGUAGCGGUGAAAUGCGCAGAUAUCAGGAGGAACACCGGUGGCGAAGGCGGAUCUCUGGGCCAUUACUGACGCUGAGGAGCGAAAGCGUGGGGAGCGAACAGG
rnacentral:rRNA from 1 species